AUAGUACUUCCUUCGUCCGAAAAUACUUGUCACCAAAAUAGAUAAAAGGGGAUAUAUCUAGAUGCAUUUUAGUUCUAGAUACAUCUCUUUUUAUCUAUUUUGAUAACAAGUAUUUUCGAACGGAGGGAGUAGUAU
rfam:Triticum urartu cultivar G1812 contig136052, whole genome shotgun sequence.